ensembl:lncRNA
CUGAUGUUAUUGUAGGAGUCUGCUACAGGCCAACCACCCAGGAUGAAGAGGUGGACGAGAAGCUUUAUAAACAUUUGGGUGAGGUCUCUAGGUCACUCCCCCUUGUUCUGGUGGGGGACUUCAACUUCCCAGACAACUGCUGGAAUUAUAAUACAGCUGACAGGGAACAGUCCCAGAGGUUCCUACAGUAUGUGGGAGAUAACUUCCUGACACAGCUGGUGAGGGAGCCGACAAGGGGAAGCAAUAUCCUGGACCUGCUGUUUGUUAACAGAGAAGGUCUGGUGGGGGAUGUAAAGGUUGGAGGCUGUCGGGGGCAAAGUGAUCACGAGAUGCUAGAUUUCUCUAUCCUUGUUGAACCACGGAGGAGAGUCAGCAGAACUGCCACCUUGGACUUCCAGAGGGCAGACUGCAACCUCUUUAGGACCAUGGUUGAGAGGGUCCCUUGGGAGGAAGUUCUGGAGAGUGUGGGAGCCCAGGAAGGUUGGGAAUAUUUUAAGGAAACUGUUCUAAAGGUGCAGGACCCGACCAUCCCCAUGUCACAGGAAGACGAGCCGACAAGCAAGGAGGCCGGGCUGGCUGAACAGAGACCUUUGGCUGGAUCUCAAGAGCAAAAGGAAAGUUUAUGGUCUCUGGAAGGGUGGGCAAGCUACUUAUGAUGAUUACAAGUAUGUAGUGAAGCAGUGCAGGGAGAAAAUCAGAAAAGUCAAAAUGCAUCUAGAACUGAGCUUGGCCACUAAAGCAAAGGAAAACAGUAAAUGGUUUUAUAAACAUAUUAACAGCAAGAGGAAGGCUAGGGAGAAUCUCCAUCCCUUGUUGGAUGCCGAGGGCAACCUGGUCACCAACGACAGGGAUAAGGCUGAGGUACUUAACGCCACAUUUGCCUCAGUCUUUAAUAGUAAGACUUGUUACUCCCUGGUAACACAGCCCCCUGCUGCUGGUAGAUAGGGAUGGGGAACAGAAUAAGCCCUUCAUGAUCCACGACGAGAUAGUUUUGGACCUGCUGCGAAAGCUGGAUGCCUACAAGUCCAUGAGGCCGGAUGGAUUGCACCCUAGAGUGCUGAGGGAGUUGGCAGAUGUGGUUGCCAAGCCACUCUCCAGUCAUUUUUCAGCAGUCCUGGCUAACUGGGGAUGUCCCAGUGGACUGGAGACUGGCAAAUGUGACUCCCAUCUUCAAAAAGGGCUGAAAAGAUGAUCCUGGUAGCUACAGGCCUAUCAGUCUCACCUCGGUGUCCGGGAAGGUUAUGGAACGAAUAGUCUUGGGAACCAUCAUGGACCAAUUAAAGGUCAACCAGGGGAUCAGGCCCAGUCAGCGUGGGUUUACGAACGGUAGAUCCCUUUUGACCAGCCUGAUUUCAUUCUACGGCAAGGUGACCCGCUUAGUGGAUGAGGGUCAGGCUGUCGAUGUGGUCUACCUGGACUUCAGUAAGGCCUUUGACACUGUCCCCCAUAACAUAAUCGUGGAGAAGCUGGCUGCCCAUGGUCUGGAUGGGUGUACGCUCCACUGAGCGAAGCACUGGCUGGAUGGCCAGGCCCAAAGGGACAUCGUCAAUGGAGUUGAAUCCAGUUGGCGGCCAGUCACGAGCAGUGUCCCCUAAGGCUCAGUGUUGGGGCCGCUUCUGUUUAACUUCACUGAUGAUCUUGAUGAGGGGAUUGAGUGCACCCUCAGUAAAUUUGCAGAUGACACCAAGUUAGGAGGGAAUGUUGAUCUGCCUGAGGGGAGAAAGGCACUACAGACACACCUGGAUAGACUGGAUCGAUGGGCCAAGGUUAAUGGCAUGAGUUUCAAUAGGCUAAGUUUCGGGUCCUGUAUUUUGUUCACAACAACCCCAGGCAACCCUACAGAUUUGGAGAGAUGUGGCUGGAAAGCUGCCUGACGGAAAGGGACCUUGGUGUCCUGAUGGACAGUCAGCUGAAUAUGAGCCAGCAGUGUGCCCAGGUGGCCAAGAAGGCCAAAGGCAUCCUGGCUUAUAUCAGGAAUGGUGUGGUGAGCAGGACAAGGGAAGUCAUCCUGACCCUGUACUCGGCAUUGGUGAGGCCUCACCUCGAGUAUUGUGUUCAGUUUUGGGAUCCUCAGUACAAGAAGGACAUGGAGGUACUGGAGCGGGUCCAGACGAAGGGCAACAAGGCUAGUGAAGGGCUUGGAAAAUCAGCCCUAUGAGGAGUGGCUGAAGGAGCUGGGGCUGUUUAGUCGAGGGAAGAGGAGGCUGAGGGGAGACCUUAUUACUCUCUUCCAGUAUCCUAAAGGUGCUUAGAGUGAGAGCAGGGUAGGUCUCUUCUCACUGGUGACAGGUGACAAGACGAGGGGAAAUGGCCUCAAGUUGCACCAAGGUAAGAUUAGGUGGACAUUAGGAAAUGCUUCUUUACAGAAAGGGUGGUUAAACACUGAAAUAGGCUCCCCAGGGAGGUGGUUGAGUCACCGUCCCUGGAUGUGUUUAAGAGUGUUUGGAUAUGGUGUUUGGAGAUAUGAUUUAGCAGAGGGUUGUUAGAGUUAGGGUACUAUGGUUAGGCUGUGGUUGGACUUGAUGAUCUUUGAGGUCCUUUUCAACCUGAGUAAUUCUGUGAUUCCCUCUAUCUUCCUUUCUAACUUUCUGUUCUGAUUUCAGCUGGGAUAAAGUUGGUUCAUGUUAUGUUUUAGCUCUGGGAGAAAAACAAUGUUGAUAACAUGCCAGUGUUUCAAGUUGCUGCUGAGAAGUGGUGGCACAGUUCCAAAUACAUUUCAGCUUCCUGUACUGUCCUGCCAGCAAUGGGAACUAAGGGGGUAGAAGGAGCUCAGAGGAGACAGAAUCAGGAUAGCUGACCUAAACUAACCUGAGGAAUAUUUCACAACAUAUGACAACAUGUGAAGACAAUUUUAAAACUGUGUGGAGUUGGCCAGAGGGUCAGCUGCUGCUCAUCACUGGAUAGCUGGUGGUGGGUGGUGAGCAAUUACAUUGUGCAUCACUUGUUUUGUAACUGUAUAUUAUAUUAUCAUCAUUACUAUUACAAGUCUUCUUUUUCUCUUCUGCCUUAGUCAAUACUUUUUUCUCAACCCACAGGUUUAACUUUGUUGGUUUUUU